CAUUAAAACAACGGUUUCCGUACGACCACCGAAGUUAAGCAACGUCGAGUCUGGUCAAUACCGAGGUGGGUGAUAGUUUGGGAAUACCAGGUGCU